rnacentral:lncRNA from 1 species
AUGCACCAGCGCUGGUCGAGCAGGUCCGUGCCGACCAGGCAGGUCGCCAUCUUCAUGAGCCACGAGUGCUUCCUGUUCCGGGCCAAGUACCCUACGAGGUUGUACUGCGCAACUUGAUCGGGCCACCGGUUCGCGUUGAGCCGCCAUCGCUUGAUCUUGUCGACGGAUUCCAUCACGGCAGGGAUGGCACACUCCAUAACAAGAGCAGACCAUAGCAAGGCAUAUGUGAUGGUGACAUCGAUGUGGUUGUACGCGUGACUACUACUGUGGUAGAACAGACCGAUCGCCCACAGCAGUACAAGUGCGGCUACCGUCCGUAUACCAACAGCCGAGGUAAGGAUCUUCCAGCGGUUCAUGGCGACGUUAUUGGUCAUGUUCAAAGGCGAGAUGUCAUGCAGCUUCAGUGAUUCCUUGGUGUAGAGUCGAUCGAAGGUUGCAGAGAGACCGGACUGCACCAAGCGAUGGGCUUCGUCUUGGUUACGCACCAGGUGUCUUAGGCAGCUAAGCCGGCCGGGGUACGGGGGUGCAACGUCUACGCACAAGUUGUAGGGCUUCCAAACUUCGUCUACUUUACAAGCGCCGUCACCGCCAUCAGAUGGCUGUAGGCUGCCAUGGUCGGCCUGGCGGACAUAUAGCAUUGCGGCUCGUAGGUACUCGUGAAGCGAAUCGAUCUCACCCUUUUCUGCUGGACCUGAAGAGUCGUCAACGAGGCUGUUGAUGCUCACUCUCUUCAGGUCCCAUGGCUUGCAUACGCAUUUGGUAAUUCCACACAAGAACAA